rnacentral:rRNA from 1 species
AACGAACGCUGGCGGCAUGCCUAAUACAUGCAAGUCGAACGAACACUUCGGUGUUAGUGGCGCACGGGUGCGUAACGCGUGGGAACCUGCCUUUAGGUUCGGAAUAACUCAGAGAAAUUUGAGCUAAUACCGGAUAAUGUCUUCGGACCAAAGAUUUAUCGCCUUUAGAUGGGCCCGCGUAAGAUUAGCUAGUUGGUGGGUAAAGGCCUACCAAGGCGACGAUCUUUAGCUGGUCUGAGAGGAUGAUCAGCCACACUGGGACUGAGACACGGCCCAGACUCCUACGGGAGGCAGCAGUGGGGAAUAUUGGACAAUGGGCGAAAGCCUGAUCCAGCAAUGCCGCGUGAGUGAUGAAGGCCCUAGGGUUGUAAAGCUCUUUUACCAGGGAUGAUAAUGACAGUACCUGGAGAAUAAGCUCCGGCUAACUCCGUGCCAGCAGCCGCGGUAAU